UACGAGGGGGGCGAGCGUUGUUCGGAAUUAUUGGGCGUAAAGGGUGCGUAGGCGGUUCCGCAAGUCCUGUGUGAAAUCUUCGGGCUCAACUCAAAGUCUGCACGGGAAACUGGGUGGCUAGAGUGCGGGAGAGGAGAGUGGAAUUCCUGGUGUAGCGGUGGAAUGCGCAGAUAUCAGGAAGAACACCCGUGGCGAAGGCGGCUCUCUGGAACGCAACUGACGCUGAGACGCGAAAGCGUGGGGAGCAAACAGG
rnacentral:rRNA from 1 species